CAUCAGCAGAGGAAGUGGUAUCUUCUGAAGCCUGUGCUGUAAGACCUUCUUACAAAGAGCCAUCAGCAGAGGAGACUCUUACAGCUACUGAAGGGAAUGAAUUCCCAUCAACAAUCAAGAGACACAAACUGCCAUCAGCAGAGGAAGUGGUAUCUUCUGGAGUCAGUGCAGUAAGACCUUCUUACAAAGGUAAAACCGGCCCAAAAAAAAAACCUUGGCAGCAGGCAGAGGUGCAGGCAGUCGAGAAGCACAUGAGUAGAUUCAUCACUUCUUGUAUUGUGCCAGCAAAGAGUGACUGUGAGAAAUGUUUAAGAGCUGAACCAGUAGCUCUCAAGAACCGGGAUUGGCAUACCUUGAAAUUUUAUGUGUAUAACCGCAUUACAGCCUACAAGAGGAAAAUGAGUAAAUAGAAUAUUUCUCAUCUUUCAGACCACUUUGGCAUGUCAAGUUAUAAAGUGUUAAGCAUGUUUAAAAAUAUACAAGUUUGUAUUGUUGCUUUAAGUGUUCUCUUGAGAGAAAGCAAAUGAGCUAGACUCAUUAAAAAGUUCAAAAGUAUAAUUUAAAUGAGUUUGAUUUCUUGAACUAAGGAAAUUAUUAUUUACUAUGAAGUUAUGCAGCAAACAACACAGACAAACAUGAAUACUAGUUGUAUUAGGGUUGUUGAGUAUUCUGUGUAGUUACAAUGAUGACGAUGUAAACAAAGAAUAACUUAAAAUGAGAUUAGGUUUAAAGGUUUGACUUUUUGUUUGGCAGACAUUUGUGAGACAACAAUUUCUAGACAGUAAUUCAUUACUCAAAUAUCGGUACUUAAGUGACCACUGAUAUCAAAAAGAUUAAGUAAGAACAAUGUCUCUAGUAUAAAUGCUCAUUUAAUUUCAAUUUUAUUUUAUUUGUAUAGUUCCAAUUCAACGAAAGUCAUCUUUCUAAAUACAGAAUGUCUAGACCUUACUCCUCAUUAAAUCAAAUUGUAUGUUUACCACGUUUUCACUAUAAAUAAAAACUAAAAAAAGUAUAUAGAUUCUGGUAUAGGUUAAAUAAUGUGAUUGUGUUAUGGAUAGUACUUUCGUGCAGUUUGGUUUGCAAUGUAGAAUUGUGAUUCCCAACAAUAUCCAACCCUACUUAAGAAUCCUCUUUACCACAAACCACUAGCACAGUAGUUAAAGCCUUUUCCUUAGUGAAAAUAUCAUAAUGACACGCUUUCUGCAUUAUUAUUGGUGCUGGUAAAGUUGAUUUUAAUAUUUGCAUUAUUGUGGUUUGAUUCUAGUAUUUGGUCUAAGCCCUGCAGAUAGCAGCUUGCUUACUUUAUGAAAAAUGUAUUAUUCAAGACAUAACCUGGUUGGUAGAGGACAGCUUCAUAGCAGUUUACAGUAUGAAGGAGUCACAAAGUGGUUAUAUUAUGGGCUGCCAUUGUUGUAGUGAACCUUGUGAUCAAAAGAAGUCAGCUCAAAUCCAAUAAUCUGAGGAUUAUAUCACUUAAGCAUGUUGUUCUACCAUGGUCCCCAGUAAUCAGUUGGAAAUCUGUGUAAAUUAUGCAAAUUAUAUUUAAAUUAGGUCCCCUACAAACAUGUUUACUGGAUUUUUCAUAGGUCCCCAGUUAGCAUGAUGAAAACCUUACUUCAUCAAUUCAGAUAUUUGAAGUCGUGUAUGAGCUAACCAACCAAUGGUGAGUGUACCUGAUUUUUUUCAUACCUCUAGAACCUCUAGAAAGGGUGGUCCCCGCAAGUGAUGAUCAAAAAUUUGGUCCCCAUUGCAAAUGGUAACCAGUAUGUGUGUGUGUGUGUGUGUGUGUGUGUGUGUGUAAACAUUGAUGAUGGUGCCCAGAGAGAUGAAUCUUAGGUAAGUUUGAAUCCUCCUUAAUGUGAAAAGUUUUGCCUC
rnacentral:lncRNA from 15 species